rnacentral:rRNA from 1 species
UACGUAGGUGGCAAGCGUUAUCCGGAAUUAUUGGGCGGAAAGAGCGCGCAGGUGGUUAAUUAAGUCUGAUGUGAAAGCCCACGGCUUAACCGUGGAGGGUCAUUGGAAACUGGUUGACUUGAGUGCAGAAGAGGGAAGUGGAAUUCCAUGUGUAGCGGUGAAAUGCGUAGAGAUAUGGAGGAACACCAGUGGCGAAGGCGGCUUCCUGGUCUGCAACUCACACUGAGGCGCGAAAGCGUGGGGAGCAAACAGG